rnacentral:rRNA from 1 species
AUUAUGGAGAGUUUGAUCCUGGCUCAGGAUGAACGCUGGCGGCGUGCCUAAUACAUGCAAGUCGAGCGAACAGAUGAGAG